ACGCACGCUGGCGGCGUGCCUCAUACCUGCAAGUCGCACGCUUCUUUCCUCCCGAGUGCUUGCACUCAAUUGGAAAGAGGAGUGGCGGACGGGUGAGUAACACGUGGGUAACCUACCCAUCAGAGGGGGAUAACACUUGGAAACAGGUGCUAAUACCGCAUAACAGUUUAUGCCGCAUGGCAUAAGAGUGAAAGGCGCUUUCGGGUGUCGCUGAUGGAUGGACCCGCGGUGCAUUAGCUAGUUGGUGAGGUAACGGCUCACCAAGGCCACGAUGCAUAGCCGACCUGAGAGGGUGAUCGGCCACACUGGGACUGAGACACGGCCCAGACUCCUACGGGAGGCAGCAGUAGGGAAUCUUCGGCAAUGGACGAAAGUCUGACCGAGCAACGCCGCGUGAGUGAAGAAGGUUUUCGGAUCGUAAAACUCUGUUGUUAGAGAAGAACAAGGACGUUAGUAACUGAACGUCCCCUGACGGUAUCUAACCAGAAAGCCACGGCUAACUACGUG
rnacentral:rRNA from 1 species